rnacentral:sRNA from 1 species
UUGUAUGUUGCAGCUAUGACCUCUUUAAAUACGAAAGUUCUGGUAAAAUUAAUUACGCAUACGUAGGUUACGCUUAUCGGGACACUAUGUGUCGAACAGAUGGAACUAGCUGUUCUGUAGUAGAAGACCGCAGAGGAUUUGCUAUGAUACUAAGUACACAUGAACUAGGGCAUAGCCUUUCAGCCAAACACGACGGGGAUGGCAACUCCUGCUCUAAGUAUCACAGAUACAUUAUGAGUUCUGGUGAAUUCAGGAAGCAAACUCCGGAAACAAAAUAUAAUCCAUGGCAAUUCUCUUCCUGUAGCGUCAAUUACUUUACAACCUUUUUGACUAAGAUUGUUAG